AUGUUUCUGGCAGGCCCAGAAGUGUUGGCCGUUCUUCCCCAGCCUCCCGCCUGCUCCCUCCUUUAUUCCCCACAUGAAGGUGGGGGGUGCUGGGACUGGGGAGGGGCAGCCACCUCCAUCUGAGGCUCUUCCUUGGGGCCUUGCUAGUGUGGACAGCAGACUUUAUCCCUCCUUCUUACUCUGGGCCAAAGCCUCCCACGCUGCCCUCUGAGGAUGGUACCAAGAGUGGGCCUUUGGGACUUCUCAGGACGUUGACAACGUGCACACUGCACGUUGACUUUAUUUAUUUAUUUUGUGAAAAGAAGGGACAGAAGAUACCUUUUUAUCUGCAGGGACUCAAAGCUGUACCCAAAUCAAGAAAGACAAAAUAACAAUAGAAACCAUUCAUACACUCCAUUCACCCAAGGACACCGGAAGACGAUUCAGAACACUAGAGGAGAAUAAGCCCGAGCUUCAGCACCACAGUGGCCCCUGGACAUUGAGAUCAUGGCCCAAUGCCGUAGUUCAUGGCGGGCAGAUUGCCUGAGCUCAGGAAUUUGAGACCAGCCUGGGCAACACAGUGAAUCCCAUCACUACUAAAAUACAAAAAAAAUUAGCCAGGUAUGGCAGCGGGUGCCUGUAGUCCCAGCUACUCAGGAGGCUGAGGCAGGAGAAUCACUUGAACCCCAGAGACGGAGGUUGUAAUGAGCUGAGAUUGUGCCACUGAACUUCAGCCUGGGCAACAGGGCAAAACUCCACCUCAGAAAAAAAAAAGAUCUGAGAUCCCUUGGUUUCUCUCGUGUUGAUCUGAGAUGCCACAUCAAGGCCCUUUCUGCUGUAUUAUCUCUGCCUGGGUGUUUAAGUCACAACUUAAGUGGGUGGAUGUUUCCUAGCAAUGGAUCCCUUGGGGCUCAGUGAUGCUCUGGGAACCUUGGGGUUUGGGGAAGGACUGUGGUGUGACUAUUGGCUUGACACGCUGUGGCUGUGGUUGGAGUCAUCCACGUGGACACAGUUUUCAGCUUGGAGCUGGGAUGGAGAAGGUGGAACCGCUUCAGACUGGGCCUCCUUUUUCAGUGAGGCCAGCCCUGGUUUCUCCUCUGUUUCAGCUGCUCUGCCAGAAGCCUUCCCCUGCAAAGUGCCCACCUGCCUGGAGACAGACGGAGCAGCGGAGGCCUCUCUCCACCGCCGCAGCCUCCCCAGCACAGAGGACCAUUCAGCAAUGAGUGUUACUCAUGUUCCUUCUUGUUGAUGAGUUCUGCAGCCCAGCCUAUAGCAAUGGCUCAGAACCUUCCAGGCCUUGGUGAGAUAGGGCAGUGUCUAAUGCUCGCAGGCUGUCCCCACUCUGCCUCUUGCCAUCUUCCCCUCAGGACCUGUUCAUAAAUUGGGGAAUGGACGAGAGCCCUGGAGGGUCCUUGGGAGUAGUUAGUGGAGGGCAGGAUUCCCAGGUCCCCAUAGAGAGGGCAAGAGAAGCCCAGAUGUGCACAGAAGCCCAUCUCUGUCACACGCACCCCAGCUGGUCACCGAGUUAUUUUCCAAAAGCUGAGGAACAUAAAUCAAAUUUAGGCUUUUGUCCCUCUUCAAUACAUGCACUUGAAAAUAACUAAACAAGCAAAAAAGAGAUGGUAAAUGACGAGUUUGUUUCCUGUCGGCUAGCACCCUCAGCCUGGGAGCUGCUGCUGGAGGCUGGCGUAGCGGGGCAGCUGCUGACCAAACCCACAGAACAGAGGGCACCAGGCAUCACAUGACAUCUAUCUCUGCCAUCUGUCUGGCAAUGGAAGGAGCUCCAGCAGGAGUCCUCCUCUGAGUCAUCCUCUCCUAUACUAGGACCUAUUUUAAUUGACCGGAGGGGCCCAGUGCAGUGGUUCACACCUGUAAUCCCAGCAUUUGGGGAGGCCAAGAUGGGAGGAUUGCUUGCGUCCAGGAGUUGGAGACCAGCCUGGGCAACAUGGGGAGACCAGUUAACUGUAGGGCUUGUCCCUUGCUAGGACAGGAACAGAAGACUGGAUGGCUGUGUCCUCAAGGCAGUCCCCUCCCACCCCCAUUCCCAAAGUCUGAAAGCAAAACCAGCUCUCAAAGGGCUGAUUCCUGAGGCAAGGAGAGAGAAUGGGGGCGUGGUGGGAGCAGACGCCUGCACAAGCCAACUGGGUCUUAUUGAUCUGUCCAAGCUGAUAGAAGGACCCUCUGCUGGAAUCCAGGGCUCCUGAGUUAUUGGGUUUGUUUGUGAAGCUUCUAGGACAAGUCGCAGCCAGAUGGAAGGGAGGGCCCAGGGCUUCCUGGACUCGCUGCAGUUUCAGAGAUAGUGGAAGUUGCUCUGUACCUCAAAAGCAUAAAGCAGAAUUGGCAACUUCACAUGUCUCAAGAGCUUCAAGAUCCUUUGGUCUCAUGUCCUUUGGCAUCCCGUAACUGUAUGCGGGACAAAUCUGAACAUGUUUCCAAGGCUACAGACAUGGUACCUUCUCAUGGACCUAGCUCAGGCACCUAGAUCAGGUACUUCGCUGGGGAAAUGAAAUGACCCACGUGGUCUGCUUCCUCUGCCAUUGGCUUGAACUGGGCACCCCCUGAAGUCUCCAUCUCAGCUGUAUUUUCUGGUCCACGUUUGCCUGACUCCCCCUGCUUCUGCCUGGGUCCUGCACACUGUCCUUUUGCCAACACCUCUGCCCUGUGUCCUCUUUCAUGUCUGCAUGGUAUGAUAACCCUUCGUGGCAUACAUAGCCACAGUAUGUACAUAUGCGCCCACGUGUGUGUGUGUGUGUGUGUGUGUAGCAUGUAGCCCAUUCUGCUCAGCCUCUGGCACUGCUCCACAUUGCUCCCAGCCCCACUGCUGUCACUGUUGUCCCAGAUGUCCUUGCUGUGGCCACAGACAAUCUGCCAUCUCCUGGAAGUGCUGGGGCUGCCCUUCAGAGAGCUGGCAGCCGCCAGCAGUCAGGGCCUGCUUUGCAGACUAGAAUGUGAACCCCUCUCCUGUUGGCCUACUUGACUUAUUUAAUUAAAAAUGAAAACAUGCAAUGAGCAA